AGUCACUGACAUUAGAUACCCGGGUAGUCCCAGCCGUAAACAAUGUGCGUUAAGGUGUGUCGGUAACCACGCGUUACUGAUGCGCCGAAGAGAAAUCGUGAAACGCACCACCUGGGAAGUACGGUCGCAAGGCUGAAACUUAAAGGAAUUGGCGGGGAGCACCACAACAGGUGGAGCCUGCGGUUUAAUUGGAUUCAACGCCGGACAUCUCACCGGAUAAGACAGCUGAAUGAUUGUCAAUCUGAAGGUUUUACAUGACUAGCUG
rnacentral:rRNA from 1 species